CUGGCUUGGAGCGGAGCCACCCGGAGUGGUGGGUCCCGCCUGGCUCCCUCGGUCUGUGACGUGGGGCAACCUGUUUGGUCCCACAGCCCAGAAACAACUGGGGGCGGUGGGGCGCCUUGACCGCUGGGGCCCCUGCCUCCUCUGGGGCCCCAGCUCCACCUCCCUGCCCUCUCUGCUGGCAGUCCCCUGUCUCCUCCUCCCAAGCUAGCAGCCCCCGUCCCUCCCCAGCUAACAGCCUCCUGCCACUUUCAGACACAAGUAUCAGCCUGCGCUGGGGCAGCAGGGGAAGGCUGGGACGAUGUCCCCCUCAUGCUGCUCUGGGUCAGUGCUGGGGGCAAGGGGGCCUGAGGCUGCUGGCACCUUCUGUGCUGGUCUAGUAUUGCCAUGGGGGGGGGAAUGACUGGGCUGGAUGGGCUGCUGAUGUUGGGGGACCUUGCUCUGCUUCAAUGUCUGUGUUUGAUUUUCUCAGGCCCUGCGGGGAGACCUGCCCUCAUCGCCAGGGUGCCUGGCACUGUAGCCUGUGAGCCUCUGUCCCUCUUUCUGCUCAUGUGACCGGCUGUGGGAUCAGUUGGCACUUGGUAUGCUCGGAGCAGCUCAGGGACUAGAAGAGGAAAACAAGCUUUCCUGCUUUUUCAACUUCCAUUUGGUUUCUCAACUUUGAAGUAGUCCAACUGAAGAAAACAGUCUCUCCAUCUGCUACCUAAACUGAAACCAAAAGUAAUUAAGGCAAAAGCUUUUCUGCACAAGAGAAACUAAAAGUACUUCCAUUUGGAAAAAAUGUGACUACCAGCAUUCCUUCUAUUGUAAAGACUGACAAUAAUAUAGAUACUUACUUAAUGCA